GCUGGGCGUGGUGGCGCAUGCCUGUAAUCCCAGCUACCUGGGAGGCUGAGGUAGGAGAAUUGCUUGAACCCAGAAGGUGGAGGUUGCAGUGAGCCAAGAUUGCACCACUGCACUCCAGCCUGGGUGAUAGAGCAAGACUCUGUCUCAA
rnacentral:sRNA from 1 species